rnacentral:rRNA from 1 species
UUAAAAAAUAUUAUUAAUAAAAAAAUUAAAUUUGGAUUAAAUUAUAAAAUAAUGGUUAUUUUAGUUAAAUUAUAAAAAAUUUAGAUUAAUAAUAGUUAAUAGUAUUGAGAAAUAAUUAGUUUAUAAUAAAGAAAGUUUUAUUAAAUAUUUGUACCUUUUGUAUCAGGGUUUAAAGAAUAGUAAAUAGAAAAAUUUUAAAUCUCGAAAAAUUAAGAUUUAAUUUUUUUUUAUUAUUAAUGUAGAAAAAUUAAUAUUAAAAAAAUAAUUGGUAGUGAAAAGCUAAUCGGUUAAUUAGGAUUCUAGUUUUUAAAGAAAUUAAUUUAAUUAAUAUUUUAAGUUUAUUAAAUAAUUUGUUAUAAAAAAUGACUUGAAAGAAAAUUAUAAAAAGUUUAGUUUUUAUAAUUUUUAUAUUUAUAAAAAAAAAUUUUUUUUAGAAUUGUUAUUGUUUAUAAUUAAUAAUUUUUUGAAAAGAAAAAUUUUUUGUUAUGAAUUUUUUUGUAAUUAAAAUUGUAUUUAAAUUUUUGUUUUAAUUAUAAAAACAAAGUAAGAAUUUUAAAAUUAGUAAAUAGAAAAAUUGUUUUAUAGGAACUCGGCAAAAUUAAUUUUCGCUUGUUUAUCAAAAACAUGUCUUUAAGAUUAGUUUUUAAAGUCCAAUCUGCCCACUGAUUUUUUGAAGGGCUGCAGUAUAAUGACUGUACAAAGGUAGCAUAAUCAAUAGUUUCUUAAUUGGGAACUGGAAUGAAUGAUUAGACGAGAAAUAAUCUUUCUUUAUAAUAAUAUAUUGAAUUUAAAAUUUAAGUGAAAAUGCUUAAAUUAUUUUAAAAGACGAGAAGACCCUAUAGAUUUUUAUUUUUUUUGAAAAAAAAAUUUUUCGAAGAAAAAUUUAAUUGGGGCGAUUUUGUGAUAUAAAAAUCUCAAUGUUAAAUUAACCAUAAAUAAUUGAAUUUUUUGAUCCAAAAGUUUUGACAAACAGAUUAAAUUACCUUAGGGAUAACAGCGUAAUUUUAUUUAAGAGUUCAUAUCUAUAAUAAAGAUUGCGACCUCGAUGUUGAAUUAAGAGCUUCAUUGGAGUAGAAAUUAAUGUUAAGUAGUCUGUUCGACUAUUAAAUUCUUACAUGAUUUGAGUUCAGACCGGCGUGAGCCAGGUCAGUUUCUAUCUUUAACUUAAUUUUAUUGAUGGGUACGAAAGGACAAUUAAUAAAUAAUAUUUAUUUUUAUUUU